rnacentral:rRNA from 1 species
AGUGAACGCUGGCGGUAGGCCUAACACAUGCAAGUCGAACGGCAGCACAGUAAGAGCUUGCUCUUACGGGUGGCGAGUGGCGGACGGGUGAGGAAUACAUCGGAAUCUACUUUUUCGUGGGGGAUAACGCAGGGAAACUUACGCUAAUACCGCAUACGACCUACGGGUGAAAGCAGGGGAUCUUCGGACCUUGCGCGAUUGAAUGAGCCGAUGUCGGAUUAGCUAGUUGGCGGGGUAAAGGCCCACCAGGGCGACGAUCCGUAGCUGGUCUGAGAGGAUGAUCAGCCACACUGGAACUGAGACACGGUCCAGACUCCUACGGGAGGCAGCAGUGGGGAAUAUUGGACAAUGGGCGCAAGCCUGAUCCAGCCAUACCGCGUGGGUGAAGAAGGCCUUCGGGUUGUAAAGCCCUUUUGUUGGGAAAGAAAAGCAGCAGGUUAAUACCCCGCUGUUCUGACGGUACCCAAAGAAUAAGCACCGGCUAACUUCGUG